rnacentral:pre_miRNA from 1 species
UUGAAGGUUUUGGGUUGCGUGUCAGGAGUGCAUUUGCACUGAAACAUUCUGAAGCUUGUAAAUGCACUAUCUGGUACGACAUUCCAGAACGUACAAUC